AGCGAAACCCACUUAAAAUGUGGAUUGAAAUUGAAAUCGAAUCGAAGGGAGAGCGAUUGUUCCAACCCUAGAAUCAGUCUGAAAUUGAAGCUCUUUAAGUAUCGAUGAGGUUUGAUUUCAGUGGAUUUGAUUGUGUGUGGUUUCUUCAUUCUUCAGUCGUAUCGAGGAUCAAUUAGAGUGAUUUCAAUUUAGUCUAUGCGGCUUCUUCUCUCAUAUUUAGGCUAUGCGGCUUCUUCUCUCACAGUCAUCGUGUGUGCUAUUGGUUUCAAUGGCGGCCAAAAGAUUUCUUCCCUCGCAGAUUUCUUGAGUUUUGAUCAGAAUUCACAUUUACUUCAUUGUUUAAGGUACAUUGAGAUAGUUCACUUGUCUUUCGCAGGUUUUUGGAAUUGUGUAAUCUGGAAUCAGCUAGAAUGAUCUUCAAGGCAAUCUCAUACAUGUCAUGACUCUUGUUGGAAUAUAAAAAGGAUAAAUGGGAUAAUUUUCAUCACAAAAAGCUUACAAAUGUCACAUCUUUAUGCAGAAAAGAAGAGUUCAUUGUUUUGAGCAGAAGAAAGUAGAAAGAAAUACAAAAGCAGAACGAAUUUAGAUUACGGGGAAUGUUGUUCUUCCUCACUCUCACUUGCCUAUGAUGAGUUUGGCUCUGGCAUCUCCUUUGUUGAUCUGGAACUGAUCUGUUAGUCCGAAGUGAGCCAUUAGAAGCCACACGAAGUUUAUGAGCUCUCCGCCUCUGCUGAGUUGCUCCACGUGAGCCGUAGAGUCGCAAUGACAGGCUGCAUAACAGAGAAGUUCCACCCACACUUUACUCAGUAUCUCCCAUUUAUCUUUGUUGUGUGUCUUCUCCAUCUCUGCAAGGUCUUUGGCUAGCCUGCUCGCGUCAAACAAUACAGACUUGCUUCGAUCUCCCUUCACUCCCAUUGGUUCAAUUUCACUUUCGACGUCCAGAAUAUUUAGGGUGGCUGUCUCCACGCUUCUAUCGUUCUCGAUAUGCCUCCUCUGGAAGAACUUGUGAGUUUCAGCCAAUGUGUCUCUGAAUCUGAUCUUCCCAAUUCCAGCAACCUCGGACAUCAGACCGGGUUGCAAGAUCAGGAGAUACAUCAUGUAGUCUGAGAUGAUUUUGCUGAACUCGCGGUUACUGUAAUGCUUGCGUUGUUCAUCAUAACCCUCUGGGAUAGUCUCUUUCUCAUGUUGUUGGUAACAGAGCUCGGUUGCGAUGUGCCACAUCAAAAGACUCUGAUCAUAAUCGACCUUUGUGACAUAGCGUACCAGUUUUUCACGUUCUGCAUCCACCGGCAGGUUCUCUCUUAAAGUCCAUUCUCCCCGAGCCAAAGAUAUCCUCUUGGCAUUUUCAGGACUGUCUCCAUACUUUGAUUUGUUUUUCAGCUCUUCGAAGAUGAACUUCCACAAUUCUCUCGUCAUGGGCUCUCCAUGUACAAAUAGUGUCUUGUGGACCAUAUCAAGCGUAUCCGAGAUGUCAAAGAACUCACUGAGGAUAUCCCACACUGAUUUGAUGAAGUGAGGGAUGCGGGAUAUGAACUCGAAAUAGAUAGGGUAAAGAAAACGACGAGCCCAAAGAUGCUUUCUUGAUAACGCAUUGACUUCGUGGCUGAUCCGUCUGUGCACUUCAUUGAUCAACUUGACAAUCGAUCCAAAAAUUUUCUUUAUGACGAAGUUGAGUUUUUUGAAUGGAAAAGUUAUGAUCUUCCAUGAGUAGCGGCGGAAACUACCUCUGGCGUCGUGGAUCCUCUCUACAUCUGCUUUUGUGGCGUACGCUAUAAAGUUAAAAACGUUGAUGCUUCCACUCCACCUCCGAAGGAAGAAACGCGUUGUGAGAACGUCAUGCUUAUCUACCAAUGAACACUUAUCAGCAGCUUCCUUCUUAUCGUCACCUUCCUUCUUAUUGCCACCUUCAUUCUUAUUGCCACCUUCCUUCUUAUCAGCACCUUUCAUGAUACACGGUUUCAAACCUUCUUUGGUACACUUAUGCAUACCAGUCUUGUGGCACUCUUGCGGCGUCCAACGCAGCUUUCUGAAUUUAAGUAACCAGUUAAAACAUCUCUCUUGCCAUGAUUGAAGCUCAUCCGGAUCGUCCUUCAAACUACUGUAUGCAGCACAUGUCCAGUCUGAGAACAGGAACAAAAGGAUGGAUAUGAAAUCCAAAACUAGGCCAACUGCAAACAGCGUAUAAGUAACUACGACAUCAGCUCCAUGAAAAUCUGUGCCUUUGUUAGGUUUCUUAUGAAAAAUGAUGAAUGCAGCCACAAGGGUACCAGAAGCAAAGACCCGUGAGACAGUUCCAAUACCGGUAUGAAGAAUCGCGAUCUUGGUGAAUAGAGCAUCAUAGAGAAAGCCGAGCUCAAUCUCAAUGAUCCUCAAAGCUUCCUCUGGAUCAUUUAAAUUCUCAAAGAUCUCUAGGCUCUCGUCACGCUCCCUGAAGCUGAAGAUAAGGUUGACUACAAGGCCCUUGAAUGUGUUGAAGAAUUUGUAAGCAUACUGAACAAUCUCAAGAUCGGUCAAAUCUUUUUUUCUUUUCUUCGAAGCUAAUGCUGGAUGCUCUAACUUCUUAGGCCUAUUUUCUUUGUCAGGCUCAUCAAUCAGAACGAUCUUGGUGGGAAGUCUUGCCUCUUUCUUGGCCUUGUACUCCUCCAUGAGCUUGGCGUAGUUUGGUCCUGGAUCUGGUGCUUGAAUCAUAGAGUCCCUAAACUUGUCCAAACUUGCACUAUACAGAGCCGUUGUCCUCUCCAGAUACUUUAUAGUCCCAGAAACAAACACUAAGACUAUAACCACCCAAAGGCUAUUGGGCAGAGACAUGACAACCACAUAGACACCAGCAAUUGCCUGAAAGACAAGCCCAAAGACAUGUCGUAGCCAGAGAGCGUUAUCUUCAAGCGCGAAAGCUGUGAUAGUGUCUGGUCCACCAAGAUGCAAGAGCAAGAAUGGUGCCCAUAAAGCCAUUACCUUUUUGUCCUGUGGAGGGUCAUCAGGUUUGAGAUCUUUACCUUGAUUCUUGGAGAUAAGACCAACAGCGAAAUUAGCAGACCAAUCUGCUAAGAGAUAAGAGGACCAAACAAGCACGAUCAAGAGCCUUCUUGGUGUACGUUUCCUUAGAGGAGAGAAGCAAAUGAGAAUGGCUUGAAGGAAGCUCUCACUGGAGCGAGAAGAAAGACGACUCUGCAACUCAGAGUUCAGGACUAAAUCGAGAUUCUUGGUUGCAUCACUUCUGAGAUUCUGAAGUUUUUCUCUGGUCGGAUGAUGUUCACUAUUGCUGCUUCAUAAUGGUGGAUUCAAAGAGGUUAUAUUCUUGUUCUAGUGCUUCUAAUUGGAAUUUGAAGUCCUUGUUUACAGAGAGAGUUGUCUUUUUUGGUUGUAUAGAGAGUAUCAGAGAAAUCAAUCAAGCUCACAUAAAUGAAUUUAUCAGGGACAGAAGAAGGACAUGAGUUACAACAAUGCAGAUGAUUCAAGAACAGAUUGUUUUGCUGGCAAACAGUUGAAGACUACUCUUUGAAACAAAACAAAAAAAACACAAUGGAAGCAAAUGAGGGAAACUAAUCAAUUGCUGCUACUUUCGUUGCUUAUUGGAUGAUGAUCACUUGCCUAUAAUCAGUUUGGCUCUGGCAUCUCCUUGGUUGAUUUGGAAUUGGUCUCCUAGUCCAAAAUGAGCCAUCAAUAGCCAAACAAAGCUUAUGAGUUCUCCUCCUUUGCUUAGCUGAGCUGCGUGUUCUAUAGCGCCACACUUUGUCGCUGCAUACGAAAGCAACUCAACCCACACUUGGCUCAUUAUUUUCCACAUCUCUGAGUCGUCCUCCUUAUUCUUUCUUAAACCCUUAAGCUCUUUCGCCAGCAUGGCCCCAUCAAACAGGACGGAUUUGCUUCUAUCUCCUUUCACGUCAAUGGGCUCAGCUUUUGCUGGAACUGCCACUGAUAAAAUUGCCACGCUGGCUUCCUUUGCAUCAGGGGCCUUCUUUGCGGAUAUCCCCAUGAUAUGCCUCCUAUCGAAGAACCUCUGAGCCUCCUCGCACGUGUCUCUGAAUCUUAUCUUUCCAAUACCCACAACAGCUGACAUCAGAGUGGGUUGCAUCAUUAGGAGAUACAUCAUGUAGUCUGACAGGAUUUUACUGAACUCACGGGCGCUAUGAUUCGCUUUAGUGCCUUUUUUUGUCUGGUAUAAGAGCUCAGUGGCUAUAUGCCAUACAAGAAGGCUCUGAUCGUAAUCCAUUUCCAUCACAUAGCGUAGAAGUUUCUCACGUUUUUUUUCUGUUUCUGGGUCACCUUGUAUGUCGCGCAGUGUCCAGUCACCUCUUGCUGAAGAUACCCUCAUGGCGCUUUCAGAGUCGUCAGCGAAACGGGAUUUGGCUUUAACCUCUCCGAAUAUGUGUUCCCACAUAUCCAGGGUGAGACGAUCACUAGAUGUGUAGAUCACCUCAUCUAGCUGAGCUCGGAUGCCAAAGAACUCCAUAAAACUUUUUAUCCAGCGUCCAGGUAGACUAGGAAUGUAAAAUAUGCAGAAGAAGCUAAACCUAAUGUACUCUUCAUUCAACUUCGGGAUUCAAUGACACUUCCAAGUUUUGUGAAUGCGGGGCCAAUGUAAAGUAUGUUGAUAACCUUGUCAAAGGCGAUGUGUAUGAAACCCUUGGUAUGGUGGAUUCGCUUCGGUUUUAAACCUAGGCAGUAUUCGAUCAGGUUGUGUGCAUGUACAUACUCAGACCACCGGCGAUACAUGAAACUCGUGUCGAGCACUUUAUGACAUGGUAUUGUCUUGGCACUCUUGUCGGGCACUUCCUGACCUGGUAUUUUGCUGGUACUCUUGUCGAGAACUUCAUGAGACUUCUCUGUCUUCAACUCCCUCACCCUGAGAAUCCUGUUAAGAAUCCUUUUAAGAAAUGGUGUUUUCUUAGUACUCGUGUUGGGCACUUCAUGAGACUGUGUAUUCUUGUAGCAUUCAUCAUACUCCUCCACCUUCAAUUUCCUGACCCCGAGAAUGUUUUCAAGAAUCCAGUUAAGAAUGUUGUCGGACCAGGUGGGUGGAUCGUCCACUUCGUCCUUCAUCUUCCUCAAUCUGACAAACGUCCAAUCAGAUGCACAGAACAUGAUAAGAGCGAUGCAAUCCAGAGCUAUUCCUCCUAACAGCAAUGCGUAAGUAAGGCCAACAUCAAAUCCACUAUAAUCUUUCUUGCUCUUGUAUUGAAAGAUGCGUAGAGCUGCUGCAAGGCAUCCCAGGGCAAUGAACCUGAAGAGGAAUCCUAUCCAGUUGUGCAAGAUCUCGGCUUUCGUGUAUAGAGCUGCGUAGAUAAAGUUGAGCUCAACCUCUAAGAUUCUUAAAGCUUCUUCUGCUUUCAGCGAGUCAAAGAAUCUCUUGCUCUCAGCUCGUUGUUGAAAUGUAAAGAUGAGAUCAACCACAAGACCUUUGAAGAUAUUAAAGUACUUGUAGGCGUACUGGAGAAUAUUGAGUGGAGUGAACCCGUCAGGAGGCUUUACCGGAGCAUCGUCUCUUGGAUCUUUCUCAGGCUCGCCAACCUUGAUAAUCUGUGUAGGCAUCUUCAUAUCUUUCUUGGCUGCGUAUUCCUCCAUGAGCUUUGCGUAGUUUGGUCCAGGAUCAGGCCGCUGAAUCAUGGAAUCUUUGAACUUGUCAAGACUCGCCAGGUACAAAGCUAAUGUCCUCUCGACAUACUUGAUCACCCCGGUCGCAAACACCAGCAAAAUAGGUUUCCAAAGAGCAUUGGGUAACGACUGCAAAAGCACGUAAACGGUUGCAACUGAUUGAAAGAAAAGACCCAACAAGUGCCUGAGCCAGAGCUCGUUAUCUUCAAGGGCAAGGGCAGUGAUUGUAUCUGGACCACCGAGAUGCAAGAGCAAGAAAGGAACCCAGAAAGCAAACAACUCGGCGCUCUUUUUCGGUUCUCCGGGUUCUGGAUCAUCUCCUUGACUAUCUGAGAUUUGUCCGGCGGCGAAAUUGGCAGACCAAUCAGCAAGAAGGUAAGCUGACCAAAUGAAAGAGAGUAAAACUUUUCUGGAUGAGCGUUUUCUUUGAGGUGCAAAGAAAAUGAGAAAUGUUUGAAGGCUGAGACUGAAGAUUAAGGUACUUCGAAUGCUCCAUUCGUCCCAAAUGUCCUUGAUAGGCUUUGGGAUUGCGUUCACCAUCUUGAAACUGAUUUGCUGAAACAGACAAGAACUGAUGGUUUAUGAGAUCUAACACAGAUACAUCUAAAGAGGUUGACUUCUUUCUUUUUCUGGUUUUACUAUGAGUUUUUUUGCUUUUGAGGCUUUUUGUUGUGUGUGAAGGUUUGAAUUAUUCUGGUUGGACAGCCAUUGGAGGCUACUUGGAGACCUUGAGAUUUCUCCGUUUUUCCUUGAAU
rnacentral:lncRNA from 1 species